AAGGCCGUGUGAACAAUGAAGUACUUCGGUAUGUAAAGUUCUUUUAUUGAAAAAGAAAAAAUAGUGGAAAAACUAUCUUGACAUUAUUCAAUGAAUAAGCCCCGGCUAAUUAUGUGCCAGCAGCCGCGGUAAUACAUAAGGGGCGAGCGUUAUCCGGAAUUAUUGGGCGUAAAGGGUGCGUAGGCGGUUUGAUAAGUCUAUAGUUUAAAUGCAGUGCUUAACGCUGUAGCGCUAUAGAAACUGUCUGACUAGAGUUAGAUAGAGGCAAGCGGAAUUCCAUGUGUAGCGGUAAAAUGCGUAAAUAUAUGGAGGAACACCAGAGGCGUAGGCGGCUUGCUGGGUCUUAACUGACGCUGAGGCACGAAAGCGUGGGGAGCAAACAGGAUUAGAUACCCUGGUAGUCCACGCCGUAAACGAUGAGUACUAAGUGUCGGGUUUCGGCUCGGUACUGAAGUUAACACAUUAAGUACUCCGCCUGAGUAGUACGUACGCAAGUAUGAAACUUAAAGGAAUUGACGGGACCCCGCACAAGCGGUGGAUCAUGUUGUUUAAUUCGAAGAUACACGAAAAACCUUACCAGGUCUUGACAUAAUUUUGCGACAUUAUAGAAAUAUAAUGAAGGUUAUCAGAAUUACAGGUGGUGCAUGGUUGUCGUCAGCUCGUGUCGUGAGAUGUUAGGUUAAGUCCUAAAACGAGCGCAACCCUUGUCGUUAGUUGCGACCACGUAAUGGUGAGCACUUUAGCGAGACUGCCAAUGAAAAAUUGGAGGAAGGUGAGGAUUACGUCAAAUCAUCAUGCCCCUUAUGAUCUGGGCUACAAACGUGAUACAAUGGCUGUUACUAG
rnacentral:rRNA from 1 species